ACGGGUGAGUAACGCGUGGGAAUCUACCUUGUGGUACGGAACAACCAAGGGAAACUUUGGCUAAUACCGUAUGAGCCCUUCGGGGGAAAGAUUUAUCGCCAUAAGAUGAGCCCGCGUAGGAUUAGCUAGUUGGUGAGGUAAUGGCUCACCAAGGCGACGAUCCUUAGCUGGUCUGAGAGGAUGACCAGCCACACUGGGACUGAGACACGGCCCAGACUCCUACGGGAGGCAGCAGUGGGGAAUAUUGGACAAUGGGCGCAAGCCUGAUCCAGCCAUGCCGCGUGUGCGAUGAAGGCCUUAGGGUUGUAAAGCACUUUCGCCGAUGAAGAUAAUGACUGUAGUCGGAGAAGAAGCCCCGGCUAACUUCGUGCCAGCAGCCGCGGUAAUACGAAGGGGGCUAGCGUUGUUCGGAAUUACUGGGCGUAAAGCGUACGUAGGCGGAUUGUUAAGUGAGGGGUGAAAUCCCGAGGCUCAACCUCGGAACUGCCUUUCAUACUGGCAAUCUUGAGUCCGGGAGAGGUGAGUGGAACUCCUAGUGUAGAGGUGAAAUUCGUAGA
rnacentral:rRNA from 1 species